rnacentral:rRNA from 1 species
UGGGGAAUUUUGGACAAUGGGCGAAAGCCUGAUCCAGCAAUGCCGCGUGUGUGAAGAAGGCCUUCGGGUUGUAAAGCACUUUUGUCCGGAAAGAAAUCCUUGGCUCUAAUACAGUCGGGGGAUGACGGUACCGGAAGAAUAAGCACCGGCUAACUACGUGCCAGCAGCCGCGGUAAUACGUAGGGUGCAAGCGUUAAUCGGAAUUACUGGGCGUAAAGCGUGCGCAGGCGGUUUGCUAAGACCGAUGUGAAAUCCCCGGGCUCAACCUGGGAACUGCAUUGGUGACUGGCAGGCUAGAGUAUGGCAGAGGGGGGUAGAAUUCCACGUGUAGCAGUGAAAUGCGUAGAGAUGUGGAGGAAUACCGAUGGCGAAGGCAGCCCCCUGGGCCAAUACUGACGCUCAUGCACGAAAGCGUGGGGAGCAAACAGGAUUAGAUACCCUGGUAGUCCACGCCCUAAAACGAUGUCAACUAGUUGUUGGGGAUUCAUUUCCUAGUAACGUAGCUAACGCGUGAAGUUGACCGCCUGGGGAGUACGGUCGCAAGAUUAAAACUCAAAGGAAUUGACGGGGUCAUAGCUGUUUCCU